GAUGAACGCUGGCGGCGUGCCUAAUACAUGCAAGUCGAGCGAACAGGUGAGGAGCUUGCUCCUCUGACGUUAGCGGCGGACGGGUGAGUAACACGUGGAUAACCUACCUAUAAGACUGGGAUAACUUCGGGAAACCGGAGCUAAUACCGGAUAAUAUAUUGAACCGCAUGGUUCAAUAGUGAAAGACGGUUUUGCUGUCACUUAUAGAUGGAUCCGCGCCGCAUUAGCUAGUUGGUAAGGUAACGGCUUACCAAGGCAACGAUGCGUAGCCGACCUGAGAGGGUGAUCGGCCACACUGGAACUGAGACACGGUCCAGACUCCUACGGGAGGCAGCAGUAGGGAGUCUUCCGCAAUGGGCGAAAGCCUGACGGAGCAACGCCGCGUGAGUGAUGAAGGUCUUCGGAUCGUAAAACUCUGUUAUUAGGGAAGAACAAAUGUGUAAGUAACUAUGCACGUCUUGACGGUACCUAAUCAGAAAGCCACGGCUAACUACGUG
rnacentral:rRNA from 1 species